CGGAGGGUGCAAGCGUUAUCCGGAUUCACUGGGUUUAAAGGGUGCGUAGGUGGGCAGGUAAGUCAGUGGUGAAAUCUCCGGGCUUAACCCGGAAACUGCCAUUGAUACUAUCUGUCUUGAAUGUUGUGGAGGUGAGCGGAAUAUGUCAUGUAGCGGUGAAAUGCUUAGAUAUGACAUAGAACAUCUAUUGCGAAGGCAGCUCACUACGCAAAUAUUGACACUGAGGCACGAAAGCGUGGGGAUCAAACAGGAUUAGAUACCCUGGUAGUCCACGCCCUAAACGAUGGAUACUCGACGUGCGCGAUACACUGUGCGCGUCUGAGCGAACGCAUUAAGUAUCCCACCUGGGAAGUACGACCGCAAGGUUG
rnacentral:rRNA from 1 species